rnacentral:rRNA from 1 species
UUAAGUUAUUAAGGGCGCACGGUGGAUGCCUUGGCACUAGAAGCCGAUGAAGGACGUUACUAACGACGAUAUGCUUUGGGGAGCUGUAAGUAAGCUUUGAUCCAGAGAUUUCCGAAUGGGGAAACCCAGCAUGAGUUAUGUCAUGUUAUCGAUAUGUGAAUACAUAGCAUAUCAGAAGGCACACCCGGAGAACUGAAACAUCUUAGUACCCGGAGGAAGAGAAAGAAAAUUCGAUUCCCUUAGUAGCGGCGAGCGAAACGGGAAGAGCCCAAACCAACAAGCUUGCUUGUUGGGGUUGUAGGACACUCUAUACGGAGUUACAAAGGACGACAUUAGACGAAUCAUCUGGAAAGAUGAAUCAAAGAAGGUAAUAAUCCUGUAGUCGAAAAUGUUGUCUCUCUUGAGUGGAUCCUGAGUACGACGGAGCACGUGAAAUUCCGUCGGAAUCUGGGAGGACCAUCUCCUAAGGCUAAAUACUCUCUAGUGACCGAUAGUGAACCAGUACCGUGAGGGAAAGGUGAAAAGCACCCCGGAAGGGGAGUGAAAUAGAACCUGAAACCGUGUGCUUACAAGUAGUCAGAGCCCGUUAAUGGGUGAUGGCGUGCCUUUUGUAGAAUGAACCGGCGAGUUACGAUUUGAUGCAAGGUUAAGCAGUAAAUGUGGAGCCGUAGCGAAAGCGAGUCUGAAUAGGGCGUUUAGUAUUUGGUCGUAGACCCGAAACCAGGUGAUCUACCCUUGGUCAGGUUGAAGUUCAGGUAACACUGAAUGGAGGACCGAACCGACUUACGUUGAAAAGUGAGCGGAUGAACUGAGGGUAGCGGAGAAAUUCCAAUCGAACCUGGAGAUAGCUGGUUCUCUCCGAAAUAGCUUUAGGGCUAGCCUCAAGUGAUGAUUAUUGGAGGUAGAGCACUGUUUGGACGAGGGGCCCCUCUCGGGUUACCGAAUUCAGACAAACUCCGAAUGCCAAUUAAUUUAACUUGGGAGUCAGAACAUGGGUGAUAAGGUCCGUGUUCGAAAGGGAAACAGCCCAGACCACCAGCUAAGGUCCCAAAAUAUAUGUUAAGUGGAAAAGGAUGUGGCGUUGCCCAGACAACUAGGAUGUUGGCUUAGAAGCAGCCAUCAUUUAAAGAGUGCGUAAUAGCUCACUAGUCGAGUGACACUGCGCCGAAAAUGUACCGGGGCUAAACAUAUUACCGAAGCUGUGGAUUGUCCUUUGGACAAUGGUAGGAGAGCGUUUUAAGGGCGUUGAAGCAUGAUCGUAAGGACAUGUGGAGCGCUUAGAAGUGAGAAUGCCGGUGUGAGUAGCGAAAGACGGGUGAGAAUCCCGUCCACCGAUUGACUAAGGUUUCCAGAGGAAGGCUCGUCCGCUCUGGGUUAGUCGGGUCCUAAGCUGAGGCCGACAGGCGUAGGCGAUGGAUAACAGGUUGAUAUUCCUGUACCACCUAUAAUCGUUUUAAUCGAUGGGGGGACGCAGUAGGAUAGGCGAAGCGUGCGAUUGGAUUGCACGUCUAAGCAGUAAGGCUGAGUAUUAGGCAAAUCCGGUACUCGUUAAGGCUGAGCUGUGAUGGGGAGAAGACAUUGUGUCUUCGAGUCGUUGAUUUCACACUGCCGAGAAAAGCCUCUAGAUAGAAAAUAGGUGCCCGUACCGCAAACCGACACAGGUAGUCAAGAUGAGAAUUCUAAGGUGAGCGAGCGAACUCUCGUUAAGGAACUCGGCAAAAUGACCCCGUAACUUCGGGAGAAGGGGUGCUCUUUAGGGUUAACGCCCAGAAGAGCCGCAGUGAAUAGGCCCAAGCGACUGUUUAUCAAAAACACAGGUCUCUGCUAAACCGUAAGGUGAUGUAUAGGGGCUGACGCCUGCCCGGUGCUGGAAGGUUAAGAGGAGUGGUUAGCUUCUGCGAAGCUACGAAUCGAAGCCCCAGUAAACGGCGGCCGUAACUAUAACGGUCCUAAGGUAGCGAAAUUCCUUGUCGGGUAAGUUCCGACCCGCACGAAAGGCGUAACGAUUUGGGCACUGUCUCAACGAGAGACUCGGUGAAAUCAUAGUACCUGUGAAGAUGCAGGUUACCCGCGACAGGACGGAAAGACCCCGUGGAGCUUUACUGUAGCCUGAUAUUGAAAUUCGGCACAGCUUGUACAGGAUAGGUAGGAGCCUUUGAAACGUGAGCGCUAGCUUACGUGGAGGCGCUGGUGGGAUACUACCCUAGCUGUGUUGGCUUUCUAACCCGCACCACUUAUCGUGGUGGGAGACAGUGUCAGGCGGGCAGUUUGACUGGGGCGGUCGCCUCCUAAAAGGUAACGGAGGCGCUCAAAGGUUCCCUCAGAAUGGUUGGAAAUCAUUCAUAGAGUGUAAAGGCAUAAGGGAGCUUGACUGCGAGACCUACAAGUCGAGCAGGGUCGAAAGACGGACUUAGUGAUCCGGUGGUUCCGCAUGGAAGGGCCAUCGCUCAACGGAUAAAAGCUACCCCGGGGAUAACAGGCUUAUCUCCCCCAAGAGUUCACAUCGACGGGGAGGUUUGGCACCUCGAUGUCGGCUCAUCGCAUCCUGGGGCUGUAGUCGGUCCCAAGGGUUGGGCUGUUCGCCCAUUAAAGCGGUACGCGAGCUGGGUUCAGAACGUCGUGAGACAGUUCGGUCCCUAUCCGUCGUGGGCGUAGGAAAUUUGAGAGGAGCUGUCCUUAGUACGAGAGGACCGGGAUGGACAUACCUCUGGUGUACCAGUUGUCGUGCCAACGGCAUAGCUGGGUAGCUAUGUGUGGACGGGAUAAGUGCUGAAAGCAUCUAAGCAUGAAGCCCCCCUCAAGAUGAGAUUUCCCAACUUCGGUUAUAAGAUCCCUCAAAGAUGAUGAGGUUAAUAGGUUCGAGGUGGAAGCAUGGUGACAUGUGGAGCUGACGAAUACUAAUCGAUCGAAGACUUAAUCAA